ensembl:misc_RNA Metazoa_SRP Metazoan signal recognition particle RNA
GCUGGGUGUAGUGGUGCACACCUGUAGUCCCAGCUACUCGGGAGGCUGAGGCAGGAGGAUCACCUGAGCCUGGGAGUUCAAGGUUGCAGUGAGCCAUGAUCACACCAUGCCACUUCUCUCCAGCCUGGGCAACAGAGUGAGACCUUGUCUCUU